AUGCCGACGACGGUGGACGUGCGUCGCGCUGUGCUCGCGCGCGAGACCGUGCCUAAUUUGGAAAGAUUGCAGACCGUGUCCUUGUCGAACGAAAUUCACCGUGUCCUUGUCGAACAAAAUUCAAUGGAGUGUCCAGUCCGGAUUGUUGCUUUCUGCUAUAUAAGAGGACGGAAGAGUAGUCGGCCAGAAUCUCCAUCAGAUCAAUUUUGGACGAAACAUCCAAUGUCUUCGCCAAGUUCGCCGGAGGAAGAAGCGUCGAGUUUGCCGGAGGAACAACAACAUCCGUCGAGCACUCCAAUGUCGCCUGCGGCGGCUACACCAGAGAAAACAGAUGACAUCGCUGAACUGAAGAUUACAGAGGAUUUGGAUAACCGACCUUCAAAAAAAGCAAAAAUUGCGGAAUUAGGUGUUCUGGAGCCAUCACCAAUGUCGCCAACUAUAUCAGCAUCUACACCAAUUUCUGGAUGUUUUGAAUCCAUUGUGCUGGAAUCAGAUAUUCAGAUAGAUCAUGAUCCAUUGCCAUCUCCUCCAUCCCCAUCUAGCUCAACAUUUUCUCCUGUUUUCUCAUUACAUGAUGUCAAAGGAACUAGAUUCAAAUAA
rnacentral:rRNA from 1 species